AGCUUAAAGGGUUUAGGCCUGGCGCCAGCGAUUUUCACCUGUGCGUACACUUGGUUAUACAUGGCUUUAAGGGUGGACACGUAUUUUUCCGUCUCUUCCAAAAACGUCAGGAAAUUAAAAAGAUACGGACAUUCUACCCUAUCAAAGGCUUUCUCCGCAUCUAUCGAUACUAUUACGGUAGGUGUGUCCGUGGUCGUUUGUCACUAAAUUAGGUCGAUGUUUCUUCUGGUGUUCUCAAAUAGUUGUCUGUUGGGUAUGAAACCCACUUGGUCCAGGUGGAUUAGGAUUUUUAAAAAGGUGUUGAGACUGUCAGCCAGACUUUUUGCUAGGAUCUUUAUAUCGUUAUUGAUAAGGGAGAUGAGUCUGUAGUUGUCUGGGAGUAAAGGGUCUCUCCCAGGUUUGUGGAGUAGUAUUAUGUUAGCCAUUGACAUCUCCCUCUCUGGGUUCCC